rnacentral:rRNA from 1 species
UACGUAGGUGGCGAGCGUUAUCCGGAUUUAUUGGGCGUAAAGCGAGCGCAGGCGGUUGCUUAGGUCUGAUGUGAAAGCCUUCGGCUUAACCGAAGAAGUGCAUCGGAAACCGGGCAACUUGAGUGCAGAAGAGGACAGUGGAACUCCAUGUGUAGCGGUGGAAUGCGUAGAUAUAUGGAAGAACACCAGUGGCGAAGGCGGCUGUCUGGUCUGCAACUGACGCUGAGGCUCGAAAGCAUGGGUAGCGAACAGG